CCCUUAGAUGUCCGGGGCUGCACGCGCGCUACACUGUAGAAAGCAGCGUGCUUUAAAACCUUUCCUGAAAAGGAUGGGUAACCCCAGCAAAAUUCUACGUGCUUGGGAUAGAGAUUUGCAAUUUUCUCUCUUGAACGAGGAAUUCCCAGUAAGUGCGAGUCAUCAGCUCGCGUUGAUUACGUCCCUGCCCUUUGUACACACCGCCCGUCGCUACUACCGAUUGAAUGGCUUAGUGAGCCUUUGGGAUUGGCAGCUUGUACCGGCAACGGUAGCAGGCAGCCGAAAACUUAGGCAAACUUGGUCAUUUAGAGGAAGUAAAAGUCGUAACA
rnacentral:rRNA from 1 species